AUUGAACGCUAGCGGCAGGCCUAACACAUGCAAGUCGAGGGGUAGAACACUUCGGUGUUUGAGACCGGCGCACGGGUGCGUAACGCGUAUGCAAUCUACCUUAUACAGGGGAAUAGCCCAGAGAAAUUUGGAUUAAUGCCCCAUAGCAUUACGACUUGGCAUCAAGAUGUAAUUAAAGUUCCAACGGUAUAAGAUGAGCAUGCGUCCCAUUAGUUAGUUGGUAAGGUAACGGCUUACCAAGACAAUGAUGGGUAGGGGUCCUGAGAGGGAGAUCCCCCACACGGGAAGUGAGGCACGGACCAGACUCCUACGGGAGGCAGCAGUGAGGAAUAUUGGUCAAUGGGCGCAAGCCUGAACCAGCCAUGCCGCGUGCAGGAAGACGGUCCUAUGGAUUGUAAACUGCUUUUAUACAGGAAGAAACAUCCCGACGUGUCGGGACUUGACGGUACUGUAGGAAUAAGGAUCGGCUAACUCCGUGCCAGCCGCCGCGGUAAUAC
rnacentral:rRNA from 1 species